ensembl:snoRNA SNORD18 Small nucleolar RNA SNORD18
CAACAAUGAUGAGCUUACUUCUGGUCCGUGUUUAUGAACACCUUGAUUUUAUUAGAAGUUCUGAGUCA